AUCCAUCUGACGAGUCCCAAAUUGGACGAAACGCGUGUCCUGGAU
rfam:Schistosoma rodhaini strain Burundi genome assembly, scaffold: SROB_scaffold0002410